GGGCCCAGAGGAAAAGCCCCGAAGACCGGGAAGAUGGAGGAGGUCGCUGCGGCCGAGGGGGCGGGGGCCCCUAGCCUCCCUCCCGCGGGGUCACCUUGGCCCAGGCCCCCCGCGGCCACGGGCGGCGGGGAGGGCGGCAGGAAUGCCUCUCCGCAGGCCCUGAUUUCUCCGCCCAGCCCAGUUCCAGGAACGCGCGGGCAGCGCCCGGCAGGCAGAGGCCCCGGCUUCGGAUUCGGGGAGGCGCAAGCCAGGGCUCUGAGUUCCUGAAUGUGUCUUGUUUGGGCCAAUCUGGAGCCCCCGCCCAGUUAUCUUCCUGCUGCUCUGCUGUCAGGUGGCAAAUCUUGGUUCAAAAACAGUCCUCCUGCUAUUGGCCAGCCUUACCGCUUCACAGUUGGCCUUGAGGAGCCCAAGAGACGAAAAGCAUCCUCUAUAGCCCGAGUCCGGUGGGUCUUGAUCACGCAACAUCCUCAGCUCUUGGUACAGAGCUUGGCACCUAGUAGGUGCUCAAGACGUGUUGCACGGAUGGUCAUAGGGAGGCAGCGCCUGCUAUAGCAGUCACACCAAGCUUGGCUUCCUCCUUCUUAGUGAAAGUACUAAACCAGAAGUUCCCCAACUUACAGCAAGAAGGCAGCCAUCUGCAAGCCAGGAAGAGUGUCCUCACCAGGAACUGAAUCUGCCAGCACUUUGAUCUUGGACUUCAGCCUCCAGAACUGUUGGAAAUAAUGUGUGUUGUUUAAGCUACUCCAUCUAUGUUAUUUUGUUAUAGUAGUCUGAGCUAGGAUAAUUGCUGAAAGAUAUAUUUGGGGGGCUGAAUCUGGUCCCUUAAACUUUCAACAAUAAACAUUUAUUGAACAUCUCCGAGGUUCCCA
rnacentral:lncRNA from 1 species